rnacentral:rRNA from 1 species
GUGCCAGCCGCCGCGGUAAUACGAAGGGGGCUAGCGUUGCUCGGAAUCACUGGGCGUAAAGCGCACGUAGGCGGGUUGUUAAGUCGGGGGUGAAAUCCUGGAGCUCAACUCCAGAACUGCCUUCGAUACUGGCGACCUUGAGUCCGGGAGAGGUGAGUGGAACUCCGAGUGUAGAGGUGAAAUUCGUAGAUAUUCGGAAGAACACCAGUGGCGAAGGCGGCUCACUGGCCCGGUACUGACGCUGAGGUGCGAAAGCGUGGGGAGCAAACAGGAUUAGAAACCCCCGUAGUCC